AACGAACGCUGGCGGCAUGCCUAACACAUGCAAGUCGAACGAGACCUUCGGGUCUAGUGGCGCACGGGUGCGUAACGCGUGGGAAUCUGCCCUAGGGUGCGGAAUAACUCGGAGAAAUCCGUGCUAAUACCGCAUAAUGUCUUCGGACCAAAGAUUUAUCGCCCUGGGAUGAGCCCGCGUAGGAUUAGCUAGUUGGUGGGGUAAAGGCCUACCAAGGCGACGAUCCUUAGCUGGUCUGAGAGGAUGAUCAGCCACACUGGGACUGAGACACGGCCCAGACUCCUACGGGAGGCAGCAGUGGGGAAUAUUGGACAAUGGGCGAAAGCCCGAUCCAGCAAUGCCGCGUGAGUGAUGAAGGCCCUAGGGUUGUAAAGCUCUUUUACCCGGGAUGAUAAUGACAGUACCGGGAGAAUAAGCUCCGGCUAACUCCGUGCCAGCAGCCGCCGUAAGAC
rnacentral:rRNA from 1 species